CAGUACCUCCGAUAAAACCAUCCUUUCUCGAGUUGGAAGAGUUUGUAAGAAUGAUGUAGGAGGACAACGCAGCCUGAUAAACAAGUGGACGACUUUUCUUAAGGCCAGACUGAUUUGCUCAAUUCCUGGAAGUGAUGGGGCAGAUACUUACUUUGAUGAGCUUCGUAAGUUCCUUCUUUCCUUCUUUCUUGGAAAGGCCUUACUGCCUAAUUAAGUAACUUGGCAUUUAUUUCCCUUUGGCUCCAAAUGCCUGAUUAAUUUUACCUGAGCAAACCUUACAGGAGUGGUUCUUACUAAAAUUCACACGCAAAGUACACGGAAGUGCUCUAGGUCUGGGCACACGUCAUAAUGCAGUAACUCUUCUCUUUGUAAGAGUCCUCAAAGUAAGUGAAGGAAACAAAACUACAGCAAGACACAGAAAGGUGUGAGCUCUGGAACUACACAGUUCAUCCAUUCUCCAUGCAGUCUUUCAUUUUGAAAGGAGCCACCUUCUAUAGGUAGGAAAAUCUUGGAUUCCUUAUUCCACGGGUGCCCUCUGCUGGCAAGUACAGGAGAUUUGGUGAACACUGUCCCUCCGACUUGUUAAUGAAAGAAUAAUCAGAAGCAGUAGACAGCUUCUUCUAUUUCACUUCUCCUCUUCACUCCCUCAAAAACUCCUUCCAAGUCCUACAAUGAUUUUUUUCUUUUUUGUUUAUGUAUAAUGUUAGCAUCAUUAGCUUUUAGCUUCUUGAACUUGUUCUUAUUUUUGCCAUGUAAUGUAAAAAUGAUAAUCUAUAUCAUGGAAUUAUUUCAUCAGUAUUGUGUAUUUUCCAACUUAAAGUAUACAUUGAGUAAUCGUGGAUGACCUCUCCUAUUGUAUGUAAGCACAUUCACAUCUUAAUCUUUUAAAGAAUAUUAUUUGCACAUAACUUACUGUCAAUACGGCACUAAUUUGGGGGUAGCUAUUUUCUUAUUGUUACCAAAUAGGUAAAUGAGGUCAGGUGUGGUGGCUCACACCUGAAAUCCCAGCACUUUGGGAGGCCGAGGUGUUUGGACCACUUGAGGUCAGGAGUUUAAGACCAGCCUGGCCAACAUGGCGAAACCCUAUCUCUACUAAAAAUAAAAAAAAAAAUUAGCCGGGCUGGUGGUGGGCACCUGUAAUCCUAGAUACUAGGGAGGCUGAGGCAGGAGAAUUGCUUGAACCCAGGAGGGAGAGGUUGCAGUGGGCAGAGAUUGUGCCACUGCAUUCCAGCCUGGGUGACACAGCAAGACUCCAUC
rnacentral:lncRNA from 10 species